GAGUACGAGUCUCCAGCAACAUAUAAUGGAUUCCUUAGAAAUUCUGGAUGAUGAAUGAACCACUGCAAAAACAUCCUGAAAAAGAUUACUCACCAAAUAAAACAUUAUCCUAGGUAGUUAGUAAAGUUCUUUCCUUUUGAAGUUGAAACACAUAAAAGACUGAGAAGCUAAGUGAAAUGUCAUACUCACUUGACACUGAUCCAACAUCCGGAAUUAAUUGCAACAGAUAUACAAAAAUGUUUUUUCGUUGUAUUCUAAGAACUACAUGCUCAACAUUUGAGAAUAGGCCUUAGAUCUACUAUGCUGACG
rnacentral:lncRNA from 1 species